UCUGAUGCACAGACUCAUUGCAGUCGAUAAAGAGCAGACCAACACACCUGCAUAAAACCACAAGAAGAUUCUUUCAUUCCGUGCCAAAUAUCUAUCAUAGAAGAGUUGUUCUGUCAUAGAGAAGGGUUGUCAUUGUUUCUUAAAAUGAAGGUCCUCACGAGGAGACCGUAUAACCUUACACACAUAAGUGUUGAAACUGCGACGUCACUUCCUCCCUUUCUUGAGAGACCUUCGGAUUUCAGUGGUUGAAUUUUACUUGCUCUCGCAGCAACACAGAGAAAUCAACAUGAUCAGGCUGCUCUGUGUCUUUAUCAUAAUACUGUACAGCCUCACAGGACUCUCAUUCGGUAACAGCGUGCAGCAGUCUCCCUCCACCCUGCUGAGAGACCCUGGAGAGUCUGUGCAACUCAACUGCAGCCACAACAUACAGAGCUAUGACACAAUACUGUGGUACCAGCAACCCCAGCAGGGAAAUGGGAUGAAGCUCCUUGGACGUGUUUAUUAUAAGAACGUAGAGAUGGAGGGUGAAAAAAGAUUCAACUUUUUGUCACUAUUUUUUAUGAUGAUUUUAUGAUGUCACUUCCUGCCCUCCCCAUCCCAGAGAGUGCACUGAAGGCCACACUGCUGCAUUUUUACUAUAUUUUCCCAGCAGCACUGAGUAAACAUGGUCAGAUGUCUCCUUAUUUUCAUUGUCUUUUUGCUCUCAAUGAGAGGUGUGCAGAGUAAAGUCAUUAUGGCCCCCAGAAUUCUCUGGGGUAAUUUGGGGGACCUGGCCCAGAUGAACUGCAGCCACAACUUGGGAGCAACUUACGACUCGAUGUAC